rnacentral:rRNA from 1 species
GACGAACGCUGGCGGCGUGCUUAACACAUGCAAGUCGAGCGGAGCGGCGAACGGGUGAGUAAAGCGUGAGUAACUGCCCCCCUCUCUGGGAUAACAGUUGGAAAAGGCUGCUAAUACCGGAUAGUGGGGGAUGACUCGCGUCCUAUCAGCUUGUGGGUGGGUUAGUGGCCUACCAAGGCGACGACGGGGAGCCUGCCUGAGAGGGCGACCGGCCACAUUGGUCUGAGAUACGGCCCAAACGCCAACGGGAGGCAGCAGUGGGGAGUAUUGCACAAGGGUGGAAACCCUGAUGCAGCAACGCCGCGUGCGGGAUGAAGGCCUUCGGGUUGUAAACCGCUUGCAGCCAUGACGCGGUAGUGGCAGAAGAAGCACCGGCUAACUACGUGCCAGCAGCCACGGUAAUUC